CCUCGGCACCCCUCACGAUCUCAUCCGCAGUUCUCUCGCGCCGCUUCUCUCCUCCGUCGCCUCGCCUCGCCUCUGCCUCUCCGUCUCGCCGCUGCUAACUUCCUCACGUUGGCGCACGGCUGCUACCUCCCUCCCUGCACCGUGCAAUCCCAUUGCUCUCCACGCGUAAAGCCAAACCAGGAGGAUCGGAGCGACCUGUAGCCAUUGACCUGCUCCGGUGAACGCCGACGGGGCUGAGCUCCAAGUGCCCUGCUCUUCUGCCCGGCCCACAGCAUGGAGGCCUUGGAGUUGUUCAAGAAGACCAAGGACCACCACAAACUCCCUUUCGAAGAUGU